GCAGAACCCCGGGAGCUCGCUCUCGCUCCCUCCACCUCCCUCCCCCCUUGACCCUCCCAGCCGCAAAACCGCAGGCCGCAUCCCGCCCGCCGCCCGCCGCCCACCUGUGGCAACCGCCGCCUACAUAAACGACCAAUCGACCACUCGCCGAACCAAGCCACCCACCCAAAACCCAAUGGCGUCCAACCUCCUAUCCGCGGUGGCAAUCGAGAAGGAGACGCCGGAGAGCGAGCUGCCCCCGACGUUCCUCCGCGAGGACGGGCGCGGCGCCGGGUCCGUGCGGGCGCGGUUCGAGUCCAUGAUACGGCGGGUGCAGGGGGAGGUCUGCGCCGCGCUCGAGGAGGCAGAUGGCGGUGGGGCGCGCUUCGUCGAGGACGUCUGGUCGCGCCCCGGCGGCGGCGGCGGCAUCAGCCGGGUCCUGCAGGACGGCCGCGUCUUCGAGAAGGCCGGGGUCAACGUCUCCGUCGUCUACGGGGUCAUGCCACCCGACGCCUACCGCGCCGCCAAGGGGGAGGCCGGCAAGAACGAGGUCGCCGCGGAUGGCCACAAGCCUGGCCCCGUGCCAUUCUUCGCUGCGGGUAUUAGCUCGGUGCUUCACCCCAAAAAUCCAUUUGCUCCAACAUUGCAUUUUAACUACCGUUACUUUGAGACAGAUGCACCCAAAGAUGCACCUGGUGCACCAAGACAGUGGUGGUUUGGCGGUGGUACUGACUUGACUCCCUCAUACAUCAUUGAAGAGGACGUGAAGCAUUUUCAUUCUGUUCAAAAGCAAGCAUGUGAUAAAUUUGAUCCAAGUUUUCACCCAAGAUUCAAAAAAUGGUGUGAUGAUUAUUUCUAUAUUAAGCACCGUAACGAGCGGCGUGGGCUUGGUGGAAUAUUUUUUGAUGACCUUAAUGAUUACGAUCAAGAAAUGCUUCUCAACUUCGCUACAAGUGAAACCAUUUGCUAGAAUGAUUGGAUGGAAUUAUUUGUAUUCAGAAUGUGCGGACUCUGUACUUCCUGCCUACAUACCGAUCAUAGAACGGCGGAAGGACACCCCAUUCAAUGAGGAGCACAAGGAAUGGCAGCAGUUGAGGAGAGGUCGUUAUGUGGAGUUCAACCUUGUCUACGACCGUGGUACAACAUUCGGCCUAAAGACUGGAGGAAGAAUCGAGAGCAUACUCGUGUCCCUUCCACUCACAGCACGGUGGCAGUAUGAUCAUAAACCGGAAGAAGGGACUGAAGAAUGGAAACUUCUGGACGCGUGCAUAAAUCCGAAGGAUUGGAUCUGAUUAGCCGAAGUUUCUUUAUUCUUGAGAUCUUUUGUUAGUUUUCCCUUGUGUAGCGCUAAGAUAUCAGACCACGUGUAGUUUCUUUAUUUCUUUUGUAUAUCUGUAGGAUCGUGAACAAAUCUGAUAUAAUUCUGCAGCUGUUUGUAU